rfam:Sclerotinia sclerotiorum 1980 scaffold_5 genomic scaffold, whole genome shotgun sequence.
GGAUCCGUGGUGUAGUGGUUAUCACGUCCGCCUUACAAUCUCAAUCCUAUUAUGAUAGGAUUGAUUCUAUCGCGGCAGGUCCCCGGUUCGACCCCGGGCGGAUUCA